ACUUCAAAAGGCACCUGACUUAACAGAAGAAAAUAAAGACUAGCAUUCGUUCCUUUAAUGAACAUAAGAACAUAAGAAAGGAGGAACACUGCAGCAGGCCUGUUGGCCCAUACUAGGCAGGUCCUUUACAAUUCAUCCCACUAACAAACAUUUGACCUACCCAAUUUUCAAUGCUACCCAAGAAAUAAGCUCUGAUGUGCAAGUCCCACUCAAAUCCAACCCAUCCCACUCAUGUAUUUACCCAACCUAAAUUUGAAACUACCCAAAGUCCUAGCCUCAAUAACCCAACUAGGUAGACUGUUCCACUCAUCUACUACCCUAUUUCCAUAAGAACAUAAGAACAUAAGAAAGGAGGAUCACUGCAGCAGGCCUGUUGGGUCAUACUCGGCAGGUCCUUUACAAUCCAUCCCACUAACAAAGCAUUUGCCAAAUCCAAUUUUCAA